GCCCGCACGGUCGCCCGCCCGGAAACCCGCCUCCCGCUGACACCCGCGACGGGCGCGUCCGUCUGUCCCGCGGGCAGCGGCCGGGGCGCGGCGACGGGGGCCGGGGGACGUGCGCGCGCAGCGGCCUCGAGCGCGUGCCGGGGGCUCCCCUGGACACCCGCCCGCCCGGGUCCCUGGGCCCCAUUCCCAGCUCCGACGCCCGGCCGGUGCUCGCGUCCUCGGCGCUGCCCGGCGGACUGCUCGGAGGCGCCUGCACCGCGGGGUCCCCGGUCCACCGUGGGGUCGCCGCUCCGGACGGCGCGCGCCCUGAGAGCCCCAGGGGCGCCCCUUGUCCCGGGGAGCGGCCGCAGGGCGCGCGGGUCUCUCCCCGCCCCCCGCAGCCCGCCCUCCUGGGCGCCCCCACCUGCUUCCCGGCCCCCUUCGGGCAAGCGAGGGCGCCGGGUCGCCAAGUGUCCUCCCGCCGCAGCCCCGCGAGGACAGGACGCGCGCUGGCCCGACGCGCGCCGCGCUCCCUCUUCGCACCCGACGGAACCUGACCUUCCCCAAACCCCUAACCCUGCGGCGAGGGGCCGUGACCUCGGAAGGGCUCCCCGGCGGCCAGUGAGCGAGCGAAGAGCUUCGCGAAGUGCGCCCCGGAGGCGGUUUCUUAGGAGCCGGAGGAUGCAUUUGGGGGUGUGAGGGGAGUUUUCUCCUCGGGCCUCGCUCGUGUCCGCCUGUUCCGAUUUCGCUCCCGUCUGCUUCGUGUCUUACACUUUUCCAAGGGGAAGAAAAUGUUUCGGUUUUGAUUUUCCACAUUUCUUAGCGCUGGAUUUCUCCAGAUGUCUUGGAAUUUAGACUCUCUGCUGUCUGUGACUUGGGCCACCAUGGGACACGUGCGUGAUGUCCGCUGAAGUUCUGGGCAGAUCCUGGCAGGAGCUCUGUGGCCCGCUGUGCUGUUCAUCUGGACAGCUCAGCUGAGGGACUGUUUACAGAUGUGUGGGUAGGAAUAAAGAAGCCAAAGCAGUUCACGGGACUCCUGCUGACAGGUUGACAGAAAACCACAAGCCCCUCCGGGCUCCGAGGGACAGGAAGGGAAAGCGCACUACCGGAAGCAGGCUGAGCCCAGGAGCCAGACCACCCCCCGACCCCAACCCCCAUCCGGAGGCACAGAGGCUACAGAGCCGGGGUCAGCACACUGCUCACAGGGCUCUGCCCCACACGUGUCCUCCUCUCGCAGCAGCUGUGGCAUAAAGGCAUGAAGCUUUCGGCAGGUACCUUCACUCCCACCCUCUCUACCCCGCGUCCAAAUUCACAACAUCCCAACACGGAGUGAGGUAUGAAACUUCCAACACCACAUGUCACCCCUUGAAAGGCUAACUACCCUUGUGACGUGUGAAGCCUGGAUCUGACAUAAAGGGAGGAAAAUGUAACUAUAACACAAUAAGGUUUUCAUUCAUCUUACCACGCGAUGCACUCACGUUAAUUACAGCAAGCUCUUAAUUUAAAAAACUGUAUUUUGUGCAGAAUUCGUUCCAGCGUUUCAUUUGCUGAAAGAAGAAUUUUGAGUCAACCACAAAAUGUGUGCACGUGAGCACGUGUGCCAGUGUGCAAAUGGGUGUGUGCACACACGGCACUCCCAGGGCACACACGACUCCAGCUGCGCCCUGGCAGCCCACGCCCCUGCUGCAGAGCUCUGUCUUGUACAGGAUCAGCUGUGGUGCGUGGGGACAGAUGUGUCUAGAAGAGUCCUGGUUUUCUUUAAACCACGCAUUCAAUUACUAUUCUAAUGAACCAUAGACAUUUCAACUAUUCCAUCAAAAUGGGAAAAAUGUAAUGAAUAGCUUCUCACAGAGAGUUUCAAAGGAUUGCCUAAGAAAUAAAUGGACCCCAAGU